AGAAUCAACGCUGGCGGCGUGCCUAACACAUGCAAGUCGAACGAGAAAGUGGAGCAAUCCAUGAGUAAAGUGGCGACCGGGUGAGUAACACGUGACUAACCUACCUUCGAGUGGGGGAUAACAUCGGGAAACCGAUGCUAAUACCGCAUAAUAUCGCAAGAUCAAAGCAGCAAUGCGCUGGAAGAGGGGGUCGCGGCUGAUUAGCUAGUUGGCGGGGUAACGGCCCACCAAGGCGAAGAUCGGUAGCCGGCCUGAGAGGGCGCACGGCCACACUGGAACUGAAACACGGUCCAGACUCCUACGGGAGGCAGCAGUGGGGAAUUUUGCGCAAUGGGGGAAACCCUGACGCAGCAACGCCGCGUGGAGGAUGAAGCCCCUUGGGGCGUAAACUCCUUUCGACCAAGACGAUAAUGACGGUACUGGUGGAAGAAGCACCGGCUAACUCUGCGCCAGCAGCCGC
rnacentral:rRNA from 1 species